AUUUAAAUAGUAUAAUAAUUAUAAUUGAUUUCCAAUCAAAAGAUCUAUAAAUUAGUUUAAAUA
rnacentral:tRNA from 1 species